rnacentral:rRNA from 1 species
UGCAGGUGGUUUGGUAAGUUGGAUGUGAAAUCUCCCGGCUCAACUGGGAGAGGUCGUUCAAAACUGCCAGGCUAGAGGACGGUAGAGGAAAGUGGAAUUCCCGGUGUAGUGGUGAAAUGCGUAGAUAUCGGGAGGAACACCAGUGGCGAAAGCGACUUUCUGGCCCGUUCCUGACACUAAGACGCGAAAGCUAGGGUAGCAAACG